AGCGAACGCUGGCGGCAGGCUUAACACAUGCAAGUCGAGCGGGCACUUCGGUGUCAGCGGCAGACGGGUGAGUAACACGUGGGAACGUACCCUUCGGUUCGGAAUAACGCUGGGAAACUAGCGCUAAUACCGGAUACGCCCUUUUGGUGAAAGGUUUACUGCCGAAGGAUCGGCCCGCGUCUGAUUAGCUAGUUGGUGGGGUAAUGGCCUACCAAGGCGACGAUCAGUAGCUGGUCUGAGAGGAUGAUCAGCCACACUGGGACUGAGACACGGCCCAGACUCCUACGGGAGGCAGCAGUGGGGAAUAUUGGACAAUGGGCGCAAGCCUGAUCCAGCCAUGCCGCGUGAGUGAUGAAGGCCUUAGGGUUGUAAAGCUCUUUUGUCCGGGACGAUAAUGACGGUACCGGAAGAAUAAGCCCCGGCUAACUUCGUG
rnacentral:rRNA from 1 species